rnacentral:rRNA from 1 species
CCUACGGGCGGCAGCAGUGGGGAAUAUUGGGCAAUGGGCGCAAGCCUGACCCAGCAACGCCGCGUGAAGGAAGAAGGCUUUCGGGUUGGAAACUUCUUUUUUCAGGGACGAAGAAAGUGACGGUACCUGAGGUAUAAGCCACGGCUAAAUACGUGCCAGCAGCCGCGGUAAUACGUAGGCGGCAAGCGUUAUCCGGAUUUACUGGGUGUAAAGGGCGUGUAGGCGGGACUGGAAGUCAGAUGUGAAAACCACGGGCUCAACCUGUGGCCUGCAUUUGAUAAUGUAGUUCUUGAGUACUGGAGAGGCAGGCGGAAGUCCUGGUGUAGCGGUGAAAUGCGUAGAUAUUAGGAGGAACACCAGUGGCGAAGGCAGUCUGCUGGACAGCAACUGACGCUGAGGCGCGAAAGCGUGGGGAGCAAACAGGAUUAGAUACCCGGGUAGUC